UGCCGAUAGAAGGGGGUCAGACAGUGCAAUCUCCAGUCUUCUUCAGUACCCAGCGUCAUGGUCUGUCUGGUUCACUCACUGUCACUGCAGCAUCACGAGCCCUCCACCCACACCUCUUAUCUUUGCAACGGCCUUCACUAAUAUCCAGCAUGCACUCUUGUCAGCAUCUCAAUUUAUUUACCCGAGUAUUAUAAUGUUGUUAGCUUAAUUGAUUUCCCUACCAAAUAACUUUCAUUGCACCCACCAUUCUGUCCCCCCACACCACUUGCAUCUCUUAUGCAGCUCAUUUCCACUGUGCAUGUUAACAAUUGGUGUGCUACAUGCCACGUCAACAUCCCUGACGCGUACAAAUGACAAAUGCCGGGAGGAUAAUGCUGUCUUACACCCUUCUGAAUCUCUCUAAACAGUAUUCGUGCAUGAGUAACUACUACAAUAAUUAAUAUUGCCACAUCUCUGAUGCUCACUCUUCUGCUGGGAAGGAAAAAAACUAAGUUCUAUGUAUUCAUUUUAUUUUGGUACUUCUUCCAAAAUUAUCUUGCACUGAAAUAAAGAACCAGUUAUUGUAAAGCAUAAUUCACUGAAGUGGUUUGAGGAUACAAUGGGGAUGCAGAAUAAAGAUUUUGUGAGGAGGGGAUUACUUAACCCCUUGACUGUGGAUUUCCCACAAGAAGACCUCACCAAGCAACCAGUGAAGGCAAAAUCCAGGGCAAUCGCAGCGGACAGGUUAAAAUAUUAUGACAAAAUAUUUCAUGCAUGCACAAAACACACACACACACAAUAGGAGCCUUGAAAUCACAUGAGACUUCCUUUGCAGGCACGACAGGAUGGAGGGAGAUGACAACCAGCAUGAGAAGCAGAUGACGACCACCUUCCCCCUGCAGCACACUACCACAAGACAUCAGUGUGUGCGUGCUCCUGCUGCCAACGUGGAGGCCGGGAGAGUCAAGGGAGUGGCACACUGCAACAGGAGCAACUAGACCCUGCUAUUCAUAAUUAAAAUAUGCACGAUGGGAUGGAGGAAGACGAGGGGCAGAUGACUACCAGCUUCACAAGACCCAGAUGGAGAGGCGGACCCCCAGCUUCUCAUGAGGGGCAGACGAGGAAGACUACAACAUCCAGCUUCACCUAUAACAAACUACCACAAGAAAGCAUCAGUGUGUUUGAGCCCUUCCUUUGUGCUGCUGGUCUCCUGCUGCCAAAGUGGAGGCUGGGAGAGUGCAGCAGGGAGGGGCACGCUGAAACAGGACACACACAGCGACCCGUCCUGGUGACAAGCUUAUGAUGGCGAGUUAUCUAAUAGGGCAAGUGUAAGAGCAGAGACUCUCCCCAACUUAGAAAUUAUUUUGGAUUUUUUUUUUUUUUUUUUAAAUUCUGCUGUAUGCGUGAAAAAAAUAGUGAACCUGUAAAGCUAUGUUACAAAAUAAAUCUAAACCUCUA